UCAUGAACAACGCAAAAUCAACAUUCUUCAAAAAGCGUUCCUACGAGGGGUCUCUUUCCUACGGGAGAGUCAAGAUGCCUAUGAAGUACGGAAAUCGUCUAACAGAAUGGAGAAGGACUGCUCUGCAGAGUAUCGAUCUUGGGUGCAGUGUCUACCUGGCUUUCGGGCUCGGUGGGAGGGACUGCAAUGAUUGAUUCUACAA
rnacentral:sRNA from 1 species